CAGUCGCCACGGUAAUACGAAGGGGGCUAGCGUUGCUCGGAAUGACUGGGCGUAAAGGGCGCGUAGGCGGCGAUCAAAGUCAGGCGUGAAAUUCCUGGGCUCAACCUGGGGGCUGCGCUUGAUACUUGGUUGCUUGAGUGGGGAAGAGGGUCGUGGAAUUCCCAGUGUAGAGGUGAAAUUCGUAGAUAUUGGGAAGAACACCGGUGGCGAAGGCGGCGACCUGGUCCUUGACUGAUGCUGAGGCGCGAAAGCGUGGGGAGCAAACAGGAUUAGAUACCCGCGUAGUCCCUGUCUCUUAUAC
rnacentral:rRNA from 1 species